GGAAUACUUCUCAAUUUUGCCAGAAUGUGGCUAUUUCACCUGAUAUUUCCAAGGGGAAUUCUGCUGGGAGGUGGGAUUAUUUUUUUUUAGUUAGUUAUGCACAGCAAUUACUAAGAAGACAGUGGGCAGCAAAUGCUACAUCUAAUGAUGACUCUGCAUUUAGGACACAUUUAGUGAAGUCUCUAUUUUCAUUGGGAAAACAGCUUUGUCUGGAAGGAAAAAUUGCAGAUUUUUGACUUAGUCUUGACCCCACUCAACACCACUAAAAUAACUGUGAUAAAGGAGAGAGUGCUGAGUGGCAUAUUUGGUUAGGAUAGCAUAGCAAAUAUUAUCCUUGUCUUCAGCAGCAAAGCUUUCUGUAUUUGGAAAUGUUUCACUUUUCCUUUCCUGGCCAAUCUCUCUGCAGCGCUUCUUGGUUGGAGUUCCUAUUUGUCAAUUGUCCCAUUUUUGGCUACCAGAGCUCUGAGGUUUCAAGCUGAAGAUGAGAAACUUGCACUUUUGUGGUUUGGGGUGUAAGAAUGUGAAAACCAGGGGAUUUUCACCCUGACCCCAAAUCCCGCAGCGUUCCAGCACGUCUGCUUAUCCCGGCAGUGUUUAUGUCGGAUCUGAGCCACCGAAUACCAGGCUACCUCCUUUUUCUAGCUUUUAUUUUUAUUUUCCUGGUUGGUUCUGCUGCCCGCUGGAUCUUGCAGAGUAACAGUUGAAGACAGAAAUGCCCGAGAGCGAAGAAAGCAUUUCCUAAAGCUGUGGAGCACUCCUGUGGACCUGUUACAUCAGUGAAGAUGAUAUAUCCAGGUACUGAUCAUAUACACAGCUCAGGAUUUUUUCACAAGUUCUUGAAAUUCAUCUGACUCUGUAGGAAACCUUUUCUAUUUCAUUCAUAGUGAAGGUGUAUCGUGUUGUUAUUUUAUUUUAUUUUAUUUUAUUUUAUUUUAUUUUAUUGUUGUUGUUGUUUUAUUUCUGUCUAAUAGGACCUAUCAGUACAAAUGUUUGGGCAAAUAAAUAUUUACCAGAAAAUCCUGGUGGCCAUUUAAGAUCAGUAAGCUGGAGAUCUUAGCUUGAAUAAGCAGCCCUCAUAAAGGAAACUAUGUUGAGUUUUUGGCUUGUUGGCAAAGAAUUUCUGCCAAGACUUUGCAUAAAAUGAACAUUAAAGGCCAUGAAAGUUGGGUGUUUAUUCACCUUUUCCUUGGCAGUUCAAAGGAGCUGUAAUGGCAAAAGCUUGGUACUGGGAACGGAGGUGGUGAUCCUUGGUUUCCACUUCCAGCCAUUCAAUGUCAAAAUGCUGCCAGAAAACACUUUUUUGUUUUCAACAAAUGCAUAAGUUGUGGUCUAGAUUAAUGAAAAAUAAAGUCUUUGUUCACUCCUGUUGAGUGCUCAUGAUGGAGUCUUCACCGCAAGCAUUGGUGAAGCUAAAUCACCAUCCACAUCAAACCAACAGUGUGGUUUUUGGAAGCUCUGGUUUCUUCUCACAGGGUAGCCUUUUGGCCAUGAAGAUGCUGAACUAUUGUUCAGAACUUGGUUUACGUCCAUCACAGAUUGUUUACAGACCAAACAAUGGUGAUGACACCCCUGAAAUUUCCAUAUGGUAUCAUUAAUCAUCUCCAGCUAAUCUGAACAGCUGAGUUGGUAAAUGUCUUUGGUAAAUGUCAUUGGUAAAUGUCUUUUGCAGACUAAUCAUGGAUAGAAUUAAGAUGCUGCCAUGCUAGUUGUUAAGUUCUCUCUCCUACCCUGGAAGCAUGAAUGAAACCAAAUGCAGAUAGAUUUAGCUUUCAUGGCUAAGGGCUCGGAGUCACCUUCACCCAGCACACCAAUGGCACCCCAGUCAGCUACCUGUCUGAGAGUUUCAAGAUGCAAAUCUCAUAUUUCAGAUUAUAUAGUCUUUUAAGUGCCUGAAAAUACUAGAGUUCAGUCUCCCCAGGGACCCAAUCCUUCGUUCAGUGCAGAUAUUCCUGUCUGGAGCACUUCAGGUAGAGAUUUCCUGGCUCUGAGUACAGUUAUUGGCCAAGCAUCCAUGUCUCCACAGCAAUUUCUUUGAAAACCAAGGCCUAUCACCUUUAGAAAAAUAACACAGGAAUCAGUUUUCUGAACUCUCGUUUUCCUAAGAGGGAGCCAAGUUCUCAUAGAGGUAACUCUCUCCCAGGUGACGUGACCGCCUUGUGUCUGGCUCAUUCCUGAGCCAGCCCUUCCCAUAACCAACACUCUGGAUGGUUUUCAGAGCUAAAUGGCUACAACCAUGUCAGCAGAUAAAUUAAGAGGUGCAGCCAGGAAUCAGUAUUUCAGAGAUUUUGGAAGGCAAAGUGGUGAGUGAGGUGGAAACCAGAGAGGCUGACCCAUGCAAUGAAGGUUGUAUGUGAGAAAGAUCUCAAAAUGGCAAAGAAAUAGGACUACAGGGACAUGAGGAAAAGGAACAGGAUGGGAUGAUGUCCUGCAAGCCCAGCCUAAAGAAAGCAAUGGGCAUUCCAUUCUUAAUGGAUAUUCCAUAUACAACCUAUGAGUAUGAAACCGUAAUUCACAUUAAUAUGGACUCUGCCAGUCCUAAUUCCAUCCUUAGGUCAGCAGUGAGACUGUAGAUCUGUUUGUCUCUAUACUAACCUAUAAAGUUUUGGUGUCCCAGGCAAAAAGGAGGUAAAGUAGCAUCUGGGCAAAGUAAUCUUAAAAAGCCAUUUGCUUAUUUUACUUGAGAGACUUACCUAGCAGCUUUGCCAAACUCCAUCUGAACUUCUAGCAAAUACAGACCAGGAGCAGACCUCAAGCAGUCAACAGCACAACUCUUUGUUUGGGGAAGGUGAGCAAAAAAAUGAUAUCAUUCUCCAUUUCAGAAGAUUCUCAUCUCAUUGGAUGAAGUUCAGUUGCAAUAUGGGAUAUGGAAAAAGGGUCACUCACAUGGGUACACACAGCUUGCCUCCAGGAACACAGGGAACAUGUCUCUGCAGAGGUCGGCUCCUGAAGUGGGUGUCCAAAGCCUUUCCAAGGAGAGUGCCAAAGCACAUUUUCUUUUUCCAAGUCAGAAGCUGAGCAUGCAGCAAUGCAUCUCCUCUCAGCUCCAAACUCAGAAGUGGGGACCCAGAUAAAUGUGUCAGCUCCACCCCAGCCAGGUGAAUGCCCUCCUGGGAAUUGGUUUGAUGUCUUUGCACUGCUGUUUCUCUGACUCCAUUCUCCAUUCCUAUUCUUAGAGCACAUGGGUUGGUUUGCUGGACAUUUCUGCAAAUUGAUGCAUGAGGGCCAUUAUGCUGAACUUCAUUACUUCUUAGAUUGACCUGUCCUGCCUGCCUCACUGUCAUCAUGUCACCUAACUUUAGUGGCGUUUGGCUGUCUGUUCCUCUUAGGGUUACCCCAGAGCUGCCCCAUGCCCCUGCCACGUGCAGUCCAUACAGUCACAGCUUGACUCUCUCUCCAGUGACCUCAUCAGCCAUGGUGUUUUGUUAAUCCUACAGCUUGUACAAAGGGCUGAAUAGUCUCACGGAAAUCAGAUGGUUCCCAUUGUACACAGAGACAAACACAGUGUGUGCAUGCAGAAGGGCAUGGGCUCACCCUGAGCAGCUCCUUGUUUGGCCCAGGGCACAUCAACCCCAGCACUGGGCUGGGGACUCCCAGAUCCAGCUCUGUUGUCCAGAACAAGUCAUGAUUCCCUUCCAGGGGAAGAUUUCUGGGGCAACCCAGCAGCUGCACUUCUCCAAGGAAUGGAGUUCAAUUACAUACAUUUUAUUUCUCUCUCUUUUUUUUUUUCCCUAGUGAUUGACACAAACUUUGUUUACAGUUGAGAUUUCUCAGAAUUAGCAGUCCUAGAAUAACAAUGGCUCUGAUCAACCACCUUCUUCCAGGACUUCUUAUCUUUUCCUUUCUGCCCUGUAUCUUUUGGCUGGAGUUCCAAAGUGAAGCUGGAACACAAACAGCUUCCAAACCACAGUGCACAGCUCACUAUCCAAAAAAGCACUGCUGCAACUACAGGCAGGCACACAGUAAAUCACCCCAUGGAGGCAGCAGCAUGCAUUCCCCUGACCAAAAGCAACCCUGUAGGAAAGGCCACUGAGUCAAAUAAAGCCCUGCUGUUUCCACUGAGGGUGGCAUUGGCCCUGGAUCGUCGCAGAUGUCAGAUUAUUCUGAUGCACGGCGUCACGCAGGCACAGCAGAUUCACAUUACAGAGGUCAAGCUAAUACCAGCGCGGUUGGGGUUGAAGUAUUCUGCUCCUGAUUUAAUGCUGAAGGCCAAAUUGAGGCAGACUUCUGGAAUUCAGUGGCCCUUGGGAACAGGCUCCAAAAGGAUGUGGAGGUUUAACCCUCUGAGCCCCCCUGUGCUCACUGAUGGAACUCCCAAACCUAACCCUAACUCUAACCCUAAACUUAAUCCUAACCCUAAUUCCAACCCCGGUCCUAACCUUAACCCUAACCCCAGUACUAUCCCUAACACCAACUCCAACCCUAACCAUAACACCAAUUCAAACCCUAACUCUCACUCCAAACUCUAACCCAACUCAUCCUAACCCUAACCUUAACCCCAAACUCAACCUUAAUCCCAACCCAAACCUAACCCUGACACUAACCCUAGCCCCAGUGCUAAGAUUAACCCCAAAACCAGUGCUGAAGUGCAACACAAAUCCAAACCCAAACUUCAACCCUAAGGCUAACCCCAAACCUAAGACCAACCCUAACCCUAACCUUAAUCUUAACCCUAACCCUAACCCUGAUGCUAAAUCCUAACCCUAACCCAAACCCUAACCCUAACCUUAAUCUUAACCCUAACCCUAACCCUGAUGCUAAAUCCUAACCCUAACCCAAACCCUAACCCUAACCUCAACCCCAACCCUAAGACUAACCCUAACCCUAAUCUUAACCCUAACUCUAACCCCAGUGUUAAACUCCAGCCCAACCCCAACUCCAAACCCAGCCCUCACCCCAUUCCACCCUAACCCAAACCCUAACCCUAAUCCCAACACCAGCCCCAAACACAAUCCCAACUCUGAAAGUAAACCUAAACCUAACCUUAACUCCAAACCUAAAUUCAGUGCUAGCCCCAACCCCAACAAAAACUCCAAGUCUACCCUAACCACAACCCUCACCCUAACCAUUCAGAUGGGGAAUCUGUGGCCCCAUAAGCUUGCAGUGACCAAUGGAAGAAGUGGUUUUGAGUCAACCCUGAAGCCACCCUCUGCCUCAAGCAAGACCCUCCUGCCCCCAGAGAGCAUCCAAACUAAAGCCAACGCUCUGCCAACCUUCAAGUGGGGGUCCCUUCACAUUUUCCUCAUUGUUUUUCUCCUGUGGGGCUUCAGGAUGGGAAAGUUGGGGCCAAAAGGGCCAUUCAGGCUGCUGGGACAGAGGGGUGCCCUCUGUGUAGGAGUGUCACAGAGAAAGCACAACUGGACAGCCCCUGUUCCCAUCCUGCUGCAUCCUUCUGCACCCUUCUCCCUCCGCAGUGAGCCUGAUGCUUCUGCACAUCUUGGGGAGGAGAAGCUUUCCAUCACAUUGAAAUGCGAAGCUUCCUCAUUAGAAUUUAAUUUGCAGCGAUAGAGAGGAAAUUAUCAUGUCAGUGCAGAGAAAAGAAACAGUGAUUCAAGAGAGGAGCUUUUUGAUAAAUCGUACCAAGCGCUUUUAUCUCCAUGGGCUUAAAUGAAGAUUUGGCUCAGGGAGGUUUGUACAUGGCUUUAUAAUGACCGCCAUGGAAAGGACAGAUGGCCCCAGUGACAGUUGAGACCUUCCUAUAUAUUUAUUUUUUUCUGGAGAGCUGUAGCAGUUGUCAUGGCAACUCCCAUUACAACAAAACCCACCAAUAUAUGUUCAAUUAAUCCCUGUAAAAAGAAAAAAUCCCAGAGCCAGAGAGGGAAGGCCACCUCCAUAGGGAGCCUACAAUGGGGCUGGAGCCUGGGUCAUUGCCCAGGAGGUGAGAAACCAUCUCCCAUCAAUGGGUUUGGGCUUCUCUGACCUCCUCUCCUUGCUUUCAGCAUGUCCAGACCUGAUCUUCUGCUGAGUGUAACCAUUUCUUUUUGAUUUCCACUCACUUCCUUUUCUUUUCCAAGUAAUCAGCCAUCUUUGAGCACCCAACUCCUCGCUUGGAAAGACCGAGGUUUAAUGAUUGUUCCACAUCCCUCCAAACUGUUCCUCCUCUCCCGUUGCUCACAUUGCCACAUCUUUUGGGAGAAGGAAUUUUUCUUGUUUUCCCCACUCUGGACUCACAGAAACAUCACGGAUUACAGUGCUCCCUCACUUUGAUGUCUCUGGUGCUCUGGGCUAAGUUUCUGGGAAACAGUGCUUAAGGCACAGAGAUGCUGAGAGCUGGGAAAAGGACACAGCAGUCCUUGAAGACAAACACAAUUAUGGGUGAGAAGCCUCUCCCUGGAGUGACUCAGAGCACUUUGAUGCUCGCUGCUGGCUCCGGAUGCUGAGCUGCCCACAUCCUACCAGGACAGGCCCAGGACAUGUCCUGCACCCUGCACCUCGCCCCAGCAAAAGGAUGGUCUGGUACCAGGAGACGCUCCAGCUCUUACCAGGAAACAGGCUUAUGGCCAUGGCUUGGAGAAGGACUCAUAGCCCUGGGGCCAAGGUGGGCAGAUAGAAGCCUAGCAGAAGUUUAGCACUGCUCGUGCUCAGCUACCCCUGCGCAGCAACUGCCCAAAGCACUGCUCAGGGAAGGCUGAGGACAUAAGGGUCACCCUGCAGGGAAGGCUGAUGGGCUUGAACCUUGGUUCAAAUGAGACAAGUGCAUGGUGCAAGGCUGAUGGUGCACCAGCUGCUGGAAUCCUCUUGCUUUCAGAGCUCAUUGCUCAAAACUCAUUGCUCAAAGCCCUGCUGUUCCCUUGCAGCCUUGCCUUCAAAGCACUUUCCUCUCUUAUACAUAUUUCUCAAUAAGGAUAUAGAAAAAAAUUACGUACAGAAAAAAAAAAAUGGCUUGCCCUGUUCAGGCCUAUUCGUUCCCAAUGGUUUUGUCCCAGAAUAAACACAGACAUGUUUUGAAGCUUGUUGUGAAAGGAGAUUAACUCUAAAAUCUACUUCCUGGCUUUGAAGACUGCAGACCAGCAUGGCUUUUAUUAUUAACCAGUCAUUAGAGUGAGUGACAUAUAGAAGGAAUAAUUGCUUGGCUUGUUUGAGAGUUGAAGGAUGUUAAUUAAGAAGUUAAAUGUUUGUUUUCCUUGCUUGGAACAAAGCACUCCGAGGGUUUGCACUGAGCGGGCGUUCUCCACCCCAUGGGUUGGUCCGGGUCUUGGGAAUGGGAGCAGUUAUGUAGCCCCAAUGCAGCCACGUCAUGGGGCCGUCUCUGUCCUGUCAUCAGCAUCCAUGGCUGAGGUCCCACUGGAUGCAGAGUGAAAAGGUAAUGGCCUUAAAGCUGCACUGAGGGAGGGUCAGGUUGGAUAUUAGGAACAAUUUAUACUCCAAUGGAGAGGCGAUGCAUUGGCACACACUGCCCAGGGAGCGGUGGGGUCACCGUCCCUGGGGGUGUUCCAGAACUGUGGGGAUGUGGCACUGAGGGAUGUGGGCAGUGGGCAUGGUGGGGGUGAGUUGACAGCUGGACUUGAUCUUUGAGGUCUUUUCCACCCUUAAUGGUUCUAUUUUGGGAGCUUAGAGGGGAAAGAUUCUGCUAUGAGAUGGACAAGGACAAGGUCAUGCUGCAGAGCUUGGCAAGACCAAGAGGUGACAACACAGUGCAUAUGGCUGCUGCAAUGGCCAUUGCAUCCAGACCCAUCACACCAACUCCCACAUUGCCCCACUCUCUCUGCAAGCUUUGCAGCAUCCCAGACAGACAGCACUGCUCUUUUUACAGCUGACCAGCUCCAAGCUUUGAUACCAACAGAGGUCAAAGGAGGAACACUAUGAGCAGCAGAGAGUUGUCUUUGCAGCAGUGUGGUGCACGCAGGGAGCAACCAAGCAGCAGCACUGAGGGUUUCUGAGGCUCUUGGGUUCUGCAGAGCCCCCGGGGCUGUUUGCUUGCAGGAAGUAAUGACGGGAGGCACGUCUGCAGAGCUCAGAGCUCUGAGAAGGCCGCGUUAUAUAAUGCCGCCCGCGCUGUCAGGCACUGCGCCAGUGGGGUAAGGAGAGACGCAGUGACCUUUUGGUGGUGACACAUGGGGAGAGCUGUGUGACUAAAUCCAGCUCUGCUGCGCUCCUGCCUGCAGACGUUAUAUAUGUGAAAGGCAUUUGCAUUUUGCUUGGAAAAUAUAUCCUGCAAAGGGGAACACGCAUUGCAGCCAUGAGUGGCCCCUUUCUGUGUUGCUGGUGCUGCUCCAUGUGAAGGUGCAGGUGCUGGGAAGUAGCCGUGGGCUGGGAGGUGAGCAUGGCAGGGUGAUGCCUCCAGUGGCCAUGUUGAUCUCCAUAGAAUGGAAUGGAAUGGAAUGGAGUGGAAUACUACAGUUUGAGUUGGAAGAGACUUUUAAGACCAUCUAGCCCAACUCCCCUGCAAUGAACAGGGACACCUACAGCUCAAUCAGGCUGCUCAGAGCCCAGUCCAGCCUGAUCUUAAGUCCAGGGAUGGGGGACCCACCAUGGUGCAUCCCCUGUGUCAUCCAACCCUUGAUACCUGCUAAGCAAGGAGGAAAUGGAGCAAGGAGGAAAAUGUAUUGGGAUUGAACAUUGGAAAAUGGACCGUGAUGUGGUUUGGAACAAAAGUAUUGUCAUGGAUUUCAUCACAGCACCUGUGUCAUUAUUUUCGUGUCAUAUACAUGGAGAUGUAUGGCACUGGUACCAUAUAUUGAUAGUACUGGUCAAUCCCAUAGCUAUGAUAUCUCUCUACUCUGCAGUGCACUGAUCCCGAAGAUCCUAUGCUGCAUUAUGAGUACAGCAUAUUGACCUGGUUACUGGGAUGCCUGUGGUAUAUCCAAGACUGCAAACAAAGAAGGAAGGUGGGAAACUAACAAGAUGCCCUGCAGCAAAGCUUGGUGGUUGCUGCAGGAUAAUGGGAAAUCCCACAGACGUGGGCUUGGAGCCCACCAGAUGGACUGCAGGCCAGAAAUGUGACUCCAUGAGCACAACUCCUGCACCAGGAAGGCUGCUGUCACUGUGCUGUCCUUAUGCCACUGGGUUGGUGCACACUGAGCCCACAACCUCUGAGCAUCCAGAGCUUGUCAUCCACUAAGAGUUCAGUGGGGCGGGGAAGUGGGAAAGCCAGCUGGGAAUGCUGUGAGAUAAGGAAUGGGAAGGGUUCCCAGUGAUUCUGGCAGGUGCUUUUGGGUACUCCAAGCUUUCUCUUACAAAAAUAAAGCUUCCAGUUGAAGCCAUUCUCAGCACAGAGGGCAGAAAUAGACUCCACUCAAGGCAAGCAGGAAGAAGUAGAAAAUAAACUCAUGUAAAGGUGGACCUUCAUCCUUUUCUGGAGGGAACCCUACACCACCGCUCCCCCUGAGAAUAAGGCACAGGACAUGGAGUCCAACACGGUCCACUGUGAGGCUGCUGGGCUGCAUUCCCAGGUGGGAGCACACGCUUUCCCAGUGGUUUAAAUUUCUGCACUCCUGUCUUUAUUAUCUCUUUAAAUCAUCCAAAAAAUGGAGUCUCAUCCCUUGGUGAAGAGACACAGGAGUUCUUCAGCUGAGGUUGCUGUGCAAUUGAUAGUGGUUUCUGAAGUCAUCACUGCAAUCAUCCCUGGCUAUGGAUGCCAUGCAAUGGGUACUUUGGGCCUCUAGGUGCGUUCAGGUGCUCAAACAUAGGAAUUUUCAAACACUGCAGUGAAUGGCUGCAGAGGGGAUGUAAAGGUCAGGGCAUGAUCCUGGAGCUAAUCUCAGCAGGCAGCUGCACCCGGGGCUGGGCAUGGAUUAGCAGCAAUGGAAACUCUGAGCCUGCUGCCUGAUUUAUCCAGGCAGGAAUUUGCUGCAGCUGGGCUGAGGCUGCAUCGCCUUUCCUGCCUGCACUGUGUGUGAGCAGGCUGAAUGCUCCCAACUGCCUCUGAAGUGCUGUGCACCCCAUCUGCACCAGGAUGGCACGGCAAGGUUGGAAUUCUGCUUACACAGCCAGAAGUGUCACCGAGUUUGCAGAAAUGCAGCACUCUGAACUCACUCACGUCCCACCACUUCUCACUUUUCCUCCUUGCUGCCCAAACGUUGCCUCCUGUGCCUUACUUGUGCAACUGUGUGCCUACAGCACCAGGUGCUCGUCCCUGCUGAAUCGAGGUCUGUUUGUUCAGACCGUUGCUCCAAUUUGCCAAGAUCGUUCUGAACCCAAACCCCGUGUUGCAACACGCCUGCAGUUUCUCCCAGGGGGUGUCAUCUCCCAGAUUCUCCUCUGUCAUGCUGAUCACGUUAACCUGUUCAAGCAAGCAUGGCCCAUAGCAGUAAUACCAUUGUGCACUUGAAAAGGACCAUGUCUUGAGCACAGUAUGGCACCGUUCCUGCUCCCAGGUUGCAAACAGAUGCUCAAACAGUACAGAACCAUAAAUCUUUCGAUGAUUUCUGAAGUCUGUUCUCUUUGAAGAUCCUCCUGAUGCUUGCAAUCCGUGUGCAUGUGCAUCUGCGGAAGAAGCUGUCCGGGGUUUUUAUUUGUAGGACCGUGACUGUCCUUUGCAAAAAAAGCAAAAAGCAAGCCAAACUUCCAUGCUAAAGAUGCUGGUAUAGCUGCUUCUGGGAUGCUGGCCAACAAGCAGAAAUAGUGUCAUUGAUUUCAGCAAACCAGUUGCGCACCUUGCCCGGCACACACCUUGUGAAUAAGCAUGGAAAAAUGUUGCGGACGACACAAGAACCACGUUCUGUUUGCACAAAACAUUUGGCAAACAAACGAAGAGGGAAGAAAGUCACACCAACUGCUCUGUGUUCACAAUGCGGAAAGAGGGAGAAAAAAGGGGGUUGAUGUAGUCAUAAGCUGCACGUAGCACUGUUUGCCUGGCUAAUGGGGGUAAAAAUUUGUGUGGAACAGUGAUGACAGUUUGCUGUCCCUAGAGAUGAGCAUCUGCUCGCUGCCAUGUCCAAUGGGGACAGCCCAGGGUGUGGAUGUAAGCCCUCCUCGUCCUCCCUGGGUGACACUGAGUCAUAUCCACUCUGUAACUGUCCUGAUGCUGCAAUGACACAGCUACGUUUGCCAUGACAGCUUCCCUGCCCAGGGGUGACAUAUGGAAUGGAACCUUGAAUGGAAGUUGCUCUUUGUCAAGACAGUCAGUGCCUGGCAGUGCUGAUCUGCACGAAUGCAGACUCAGAAUGAGAUGUAUCCAGGAGAGCUCUGUUGCCAACCCAGAAAAUAACGAGCCUGCAUUUUUAUCAUUUUAAGAAUGUGGAAUUCAAAAAGGGCAAUAAACCUCAAGCUCUUCUUUUUGCCUUACAUGGGCUCUGCCCUGUGAAUCACAGCCUGCUGUGCCAUGCCAGGAAACACACAGUCUGAGGGUCAGGGGAGGAUCACUGUGAGCAGCACUAUGGCCCAGCCCUCCCUCUAUCUUCCAGGCAGUUCCCAGCUCUGGUGCAGGUGAUGGGGGACAAAUAACCAGGAGGGCAUAGCCCUACCUCGGGAUAGCAGAUUUCCAAAAGACACAGCAAGGAAAUUACCCUUGUCCUAUCCCUAACUCUAACCCUAACCCAAAAAACUAGACUAAACCCCCAACCCUAACACUAACCAUAACCCUAACACUAUACUAAUUCUAACCCUAACCCUAUCCCUAACCCCAACUCUAACUGUUACCCUAUCCUUACACCUAAUCCCAACUCUAAUCUUAACCCUAACUCUAACACCAAACCUAAGCUUAACCCUAACCCUAACACAAAUCCCAACUCUAAUCCCAACCCUAACUCUAACCCUAAGGUUAACCCUAUCCCCUACCCUAUUCCUAACCCCAACCCUAACCAUAUCCCUCUCCCUAACCAUAAUCCUAUCUCUAACCCCAACCCAAACCCUAGCCUCAACUCCAACCCUAACCCUAAUCCUCCUCUAGCACUGAUCUCAGAGCUCAUAAUGCUCUGGUUACCCACAUGUGACCCUGCUCCAGGACUGGGAUUAGGCUCAUGCACCAAAAACCCAGAGCCACUGCUGAGUUUGUGGAUCCACACUCAGGAGCAUAGAUAUCAGCCUGUCCCAUCUCCCCUGCAUGACUUAUUUUCCGCACAUUGAACUGCUGCUAUUCAAGGUGGAGAAUCCAUGAAAACAAUCUAAAGCUGGAUGUGUGCACUGUUACUUUGGGGUAUGCUUAUAUAUAGUUUAGCAUCAACAGUAUAAAACCUGUGGACAGCCACAUAACACACAACAGCGCUUGCAAGCACGUGUCCAAAGCAGUGCCAUAGAAUCAUAGAACCACAGAACCGUUAUGGUUGGAAAAGACCUCUCAGACCCCAGCCCAAUCCCAGCCCACCCCCACCAUACCCACUGCCCACAUCCCUCAGUGCCACAUCCCCACGGUUCUGGAACACCUCCAGGGAUGGUGACCCCACCACUCCCUGGGCAGUGUGUGCCAAUGCAUCACCAGUCUUUCAGAGAAGGAAUUUUUCCUUAUAUCCAACCUGAAAGUAACCGAACUCAGUUUCUUCAUUAACUUCCUAAUAUUGGAGGAUGAUUAAACUCUGUCUGGGAAAGGAAUGCGAGCAGCUACUUUGCAUGGGGAGGGUGGAAUGACUGUGCUGGAGGAGCUCCGGGAGAUGGAAAAAACCACAUCAAGGCUGUCUGCCUUCCCCAUCCCAAAUUACAGCACCCAGAGAGGAAUACACCAGGGGUUGGUUGUUAUCUCUCAUCUGCAAACAGCUCCAGUUUGACAUAUUAUAUCCUCUGGGCGCUGGGGAGCAGCAGAGAAAUCAGCAUUACCGAAGUGAAAGUGCCCUGCUAGAUCUGCAAACAGCUCUGCAUCCGUAACCCUUGCUGCUGUCCUGAUGUGACUCACAGAUACCGAGAAUUUUUGCUAAGCUGCAAAACUGCUCAGAGCACAAAACUCCAAGUGGUUUUCCUCCUGCUGCUUCCAGGGGUAGCAGCACCUCCAGG
ensembl:lncRNA